rnacentral:rRNA from 1 species
GAUGAACGCUGGCGGCGUGCCUAAUACAUGCAAGUCGAACGCUGGAGAUCUAGCUUGCUAGAUCGAAGGAGUGGCGAACGGGUGAGUAAUACAUAAGCAACCUACCCACGAAGACUGGGAUAAUCUCUGGAAACGGGGACUAAUACCGGAUAGGUAAUCGGAAGGCAUCUUCUGGUUAUUAAAGGUUAAAAACACUGGUGGAUGGGCUUAUGGCGCAUUAGUUAGUUGGCGAGGUAACGGCCCACCAAGACGAUGAUGCGUAGCCGGCCUGAGAGGGUGAACGGCCACAUUGGGACUGAGACACGGCCCAGACUCCUACGGGAGGCAGCAGUAGGGAAUUUUCGGCAAUGGGGGCAACCCUGACCGAGCAACGCCGCGUGAGUGAAGACGGCCUUCGGGUUGUAAAGCUAUGUUGUAAGGGAAGAACGGUAGAUAGAGAAUAUCUAAGUGACGGUACCUUACCAGAAAGCCACGGCUAACUACGUG